GUUGAAGAGGAAGAGAAGGAUGGAUCUGAUGUUGAGAUGACCAGCGAAAGCAGCGACAUCGAUAUCGAAGGCAGCAGAGUCCAUAGUGAUGGGGUCGUGGAAGAGGGCGAUUGAGAUCAUAAUGUGCACACUAGAGAGAUAAAGGCCCUUAUAGAGGUCAUUGAAGGAGUUGGAUGAAUAGGAGGGCUCGAGGAUGAGGUGCCAAGAGCUAUGGGUUGC
rnacentral:lncRNA from 1 species